AAUUAACUACUAAAGGUAAUAAAACAAAAAAAAACCCAUAUAUAAUGGCGGUCUUAGUAUUAUUAAAGAAACUCGCUCUAUAAUCGACAACACCCGAUAAAUCUAACUUACAUUUCAAAGUUUAUAUACCGCCGUUAACUAGAAUAUAAAAAACAAUAAUAUUCAUUAAAUUACACACAAAUAAAAAAUCAGGUCAAGGUGUAACCAAUAAGUAAGAAAAAGUAAGUUACAUUAAAAACAAUUUUUAAAGGAAAGAUACAUUAAAAUAGAUCCAGAAAAAGAAUUUAUAGGUACAAUUAAAUUAAUAAUUUAAAUAGAAUCUAAUAAACAUAGACGU
rnacentral:rRNA from 1 species